rnacentral:tRNA from 1 species
GCCGGUGUGGCGGAAUGGUAGACGCGACGGACUCAAAAUCCGUUUCUCGCAAGGGAGUGGGGGUUCGAGUCCCUUCACCGGCACCA